UAUGUUCCAGGGCCAUCAGGAUCAUCAGAGGAAGGCAAUUUCUAUGAAGAAAAUCUGACCGGUGUGCCUAUACCUUGCAUACACAUGGACCUAUUCUUAAUUACAAUGUCCUUUGUAGGAGUAAGGGACAUAUGUAGGUAGAUAUCACACCAAUUAAACAAUAGAUAGGAGUAUACUAGAAAAUAGUAUAAGGCAGAUGUGAGUGCAUUUGCCAUUCUGGUAAAUACAGGAAACCGAGGAUUGUAGUAGUGUAGUGAACAUUAAAGUAAUGGACUACAUGUUUACAUUGAUUAUGAGACUGUGGUAAUGGAAAUCUCCUAAGGGACGUUCUGGCUCUUGUAUUUUCUCCAUUGUGCUGACAGACUGACUAGACAUGUCAGCACCUGGGCACUUGGACACACUAGAUUUAUAGUCUACCCAUUACACUAAACAAAACAUACAUGUCAGACAGAUAGGCGCUUAAAGAAAUUGGACACUAGACACAUAGUCUGCUGAUUCUUUAAAGAGAUACACAUGUCAGAGAAAUAUGUGUUUAGGGCACUUAGACCCACUAGACAUAUAGUCUGACCAGUCCAUUAUGUACAUACAUGUCAGACACACAGGCACAUGAAGAAAGUUGAGACACUGGAAUAGAGGGUCUGGCCACCAUGAUAAACUGAUUGAAAGCAGAUGGUGGUGAAUGACUUCAUAGGGGAUGGGCAUAAUAUUAUAUGGGUAUAAAUAUAAAGGACUGGACUUCUGAGGAGGGUUCCGUGGGACAUUCGAGAUGGUUAUACUAUUGUAAAUAAAAGCAUGUUUUGAUUUCACAAGUUCUGAUAAAGCGUUAUAUUUCUGAGAUGAUUUUCCACGACACCUUCUCGACAUGUUUUCCAGGAGAGAUGUCAGCGAUUCGGGCCAAACAGCCAAUGACCAAGGGAAAGCUGGGACAAAAGAGAGGCUCACACGGUGCCAAAGGAACAAAAAGGUAUUGGUCGACAAUAGAGGUGGAUGCAGUUGAAGAUUCCUUGAUGGAUUUCAUCCGACUGAGAUAAACGCCUGGAAAACAAGACUGUGAGAAAUGCAUUGCUGCUUCUCCCCAAGCACUAGUAAACAGGGACUGGAGAGCAGUAAAGUUCUAUGUACACAACAGAAUAGUUGCAGAUCAGAGAAAAUAAGUGUAUGAGAUGCUUCUGGUUAUCUUCGUGUACUUCUGAGGAUUUAAUGAGACUCACUUGACUUAAGCUCAUAGGCAGAUGACAAAUGUCCUCUAUCUCACUAUUCGGGGGAGUUUUUCCGGGUGGGUGGUUCACUUUUGUAGUGACUAAGGUCUCAAGAAUACAAAGCCUGCUGACUUUGAAUGUUACAGAAAAAAAAAAAUACAAUUCUAAACUAUUAAUCUGUUACUUGGAUAUAUUGAGUCCAUUACUGAAAUGGUUGUUCCAGUUUAAAUACUUUACAGAAGAACUACACUACAGCCGUUGAAUUGCCAUCCAUGUUGCACCAUUGUGGCAUUCUACAUGAAUAUUUUCAGCCAAAAAAUAGAAUGAAUGCGUCAAAUAUCGAGAAUUUAAACUUGUUAAUUAUUUUACGGUUCCAUUAGGUACAAUGUAGGCAGUUGGAUAGUUUUUAUAGAUUUCAUAGGAGGCAUUCUCUCAAUGGCUGAUGGCAAUGCAUUGUGUGGCUGCUGCCAAGAUACAUACUCAAUCUCUAGCCACUAAUAGUUAAUAAUACGAUGUAAUAAAUGUAUCACUAGUCAUUUAAACAAUGCCACUUUAUAUAAUGUUUACAUACCCUACAUUACUCAUCUCAUAUGUAUAUACUGUACUCUAUACCAUCUACUGCAUCUUGCCUAUGCCGUUCGGCCAUCGCUCAUCCUUAUAUUUAUAUGUACAUAUUCUUAAUUAUUCCUUUGCUCACAAGAAACCAACAACACACACCACAGAUCAUUUUCAACUGCAUUAAAACUUUAUAGAAACUGAUCUCUUUGGAACAUGCUGAGGAUAAAUUAACAUUUGCCUAACUAGAAUAACAAGUGGAUUAAUAUUAAUCUCUAGUUGAUACUGAGGGACAUAUUCUAUCAUCACUCUAGCGUACUAGAUACUUUGGGUACUCCCAAGGGGUUGAAGCAGUCCAUCUUCAGGAAGAGAACACUCUUCGAGAAGCUACACACCCCAGGGAUGAAAGUACUUUGACAGCUUGUGGCUCCUGUUGGAUCUCAUAGGAAAAGUCUGUUCCAACAGUACUUCUGAAAGUAGCUGCUGCUUAUGCACAACAGCCUGGAUCGGUGGGCGCUGAAUCAUUUCUGUCACCUGCCCUUUGUGGUUUGGGGUUGAAAGGGCAGUGGAGGUACUAGGAUGGCAGGCAGGGCAGACGCUGGGAUGAUGCUGGCUGAUCCUCUCUGGUCCAUGGUAGGCCAUGAGGUCUCAAUAGGGCUCCCAAUUGGCGCAGCUGUCUAAUGCACUGGUCCCAUAGGGCGACGUACAAUUGGCCCAGUGCCGUUAGGGUUUGGCCGGGGUAGGCCGUCAUUGUAAAUAAGAAUUUGUUCUUAACUAACUUGCCUAUUUAAAUAAAGGUAAUAAAAUGAAGGUGUGUGUGUUUGCGCGACCCCCUACAACUUGCUUUGCUCCAUCUCUUCAGAAAGAGACUCUUCAUCCACCUCCAAGAUCGAGGGCAGUGAUGGAGAGACACACACAUGGAAGAAAGGCCCAGACUUAAAGUUAACAUCCCAGUGAAUGGGCUUCACUCUCUUCCUGCGCCCUCGUUGGCUAUUCUCCCAUUCCCGCUUUGCCUUGGCACGGGAGGCGGGCAUGUGCCACCGCUUGAUAGGAGGCUGUUCCGCCAGUGGGGCCAAGGGGGUCAAGAGGAUUUCAAAGGGGCACUUCUCACCCGCCUGCAUGGCUCUCCUACUGGUCAGUAAAGCGGUGUGGUCGGUGCGACCUGUGUGGCUGGGCGUAGGUCUGGGCAGGGGGUGACAGCCAUCAUCUCCGCCUACGUCAGCUGGGUGGCAGAUUAAAGGUGGACCACAGAGGAAUAUCCUCUCAGUGCUACUGAAGGACAGGGGCUCAGAGGGUAAUAUGAUUUGUUUGUCACCCAGUUGUUCUGGUAGCUGCUGGUCCAGCAUAGCAGACCGGAUCUGUAAGAGCUGGAUCCUCUUCGACACACGCCGUGAUCUGGCGUUGGCUGGCCGGGCUGGCACUGGGUAGGCAGGUGGGGCAGGCACUCGGCUGGAAGGAACCGGAGAAGCAGAUGGAGUAGGCACCAGAAGGUCAGGCACAUGGCUGACCAUUGGGGUAGGCAAUGGGAUGGCCAUCUGGGCAGGUGAGGCUGACACUGCAAUGGUUGGCAGCACAGGGAAAGAAUUGGUGCUCUCCCUCCUACCCAUGGAGUUUAUAAGCUCUAAGGUCUGGUUAGGGAACCUCAGAGUGCUGCCGUCAGUAUGUCUUGUUAUCCUAGCUAUCCCGGUCUUGGGUCGUGCCAGGCUUCUGCUGGCCUGGACCUCCGGCUGGAGGACAUCCACAGGAGAACAUGGCGGCUGCAAGAGGCUGCCGUCGGACAGAGACCGUCUGGCCUGAGCAGGAGGAGAGCGGUGACUUUGUUCCUGGAUGUUAGACGUCUUGAGAGGAUUGGCCUGGAUCCUGACCUCAGACUGGCUGCAUGGAGUCCCAGAUAAUGGAGCUACUGCCUUGGCUGCAGUGGAGCAUACAUUGGGCCUCUUAGGGAUGCUUCCUGGUGUCUGUGGUCUGCUGGAUUUAAUCUCUGGCUCCUGCUUUUUGCUGGAGGUAAAUGUGCUCCCUCCAGUUUUGGUUUUGACCGGACCCAGACGCUUGCUACCCAUCUGUCCCUCCAGCUGCAGACGAGGCAUGCGAGGCACCUUGGGGGUGUUUUUGAUCCUUUGGACAUUGAGAGAGGUCACAGUGAGCAUUGGGAGCCUGAUGGGUGGAGUGGCCAUUGGAAGCCUUCCCAUGUCAGCCCUCUCUUUAGUCCCAUCCAUGUUGUGGAAGUGGGAUCGGCUAUUCUUUCUCCCUGGUGGCAUUGGCUGUAGGACAAUAUCACUGGCACUCCGGACACUGAGGAUGUCUGUCAGACUGUUCUCAGAACUGUUCUGACUGGUCUCUUGUGUCCGAGUCUUGGACUUCCCUCUGUCUUUCAUGGCUGUGAGAGUCACAGUGGAGGAGCAAACAGCAACAAAAAGCAUGUUUGAGAAUAAGAAUAUAGAAUAAAUUACAAUAGAUUUUGAUCAAAGUUGUUACUAUAAAUGUGUGUUUUUCCACUUUCAAAGGACAUUCCAAUUCUUGCCAAAUGUUCAUAAAUUCAUAAAAAUUUAAGAUUUACAGACUAAGGCCUACCUUCAAUUUGGACUUCCAGAUAAUUUGCACACGUAGGAUUUGACUAUACAGUUUCAACAAUAUAUUCUUGAAAACAGAAACACAAGACAACAAGACCUAGUCACAAAUCACAAAACAUAACAGUUUCUGACAGUUAUUGAUCAAAUUUAAGAUCUCAUAAAAUAAAAGUAAUGCAUUUGAGAUUAUUUCAUUAAAUUAUAGGUCCUACCUCAGUUCAAGAAGAGCGUUAAUGACCUGUCUAUGGAAUGUUUUAUUUUAACAAAAGAAUGCUUCAUUAUGACAUCAUGUACAUUAUGUCAUAGCAGCCGUCCGUCCACAUCAUAAAAGUUUGUCAAAUCCACUUGAAUAGGCAUGAAAUGUAACAUUAAAUAUAAUAGGACUAAUUCAACAAUUUAAUAAAAAUAAUAGUUUGACAGUAAUUAUUCAGUUUACUGGCUUUUAUUUUCAUUACAGUAGUGGUUUUGAAUUGAUUAAAAUGAGAGUAGGCCUAGUGAGUUUAGUAGAACUCGAUCGCUCAUUGAACAUCUGUGUGGAACGUUCGCAGCUAAUGCCACAGACGCCUUUGGAAAAAAAUUCACUUUAGUUUCAUAUUCAACUUAUCAGCAUAUAUGCACCGCAAAUAAAUUCUCACUACUCAAAUAAAUCUGAAGAUCGCAAUUAUUUAUUUAUUAUAGCGUCUUAAGUAUGGAAAGUAAAAGUAUGAAUUUAAAAUUCCUUAAAUUAAGCAAACCGGAUAGCCAGGGUCACACUCAGAUAUCGUUUAAAAACAAAGCAUUUGUGUUUAGUGAUUAGUGAGUCCGCCAGAUCAGAGGCAGUAGGGAUGACCAGGGAUGUUCUCUUGAUAAGUGUGGGAAUUUGACUAUUUUCUGUCCUGCUAAGCAUUCAUAAUGUAAUGAGUACUUUUGGGUGUCAGGGAAAAUGUUUGGAGUAAAAAGUACAUCAUAUUCUUUAGGAAUGUUGUUAAGUAAAAGUUAAAUAUGUCAAAAACAUAAAUAGUAAAGUACAGAUACAGUACUUUAACGUAUUUUUACUUAAAUACUUUAUAUUAAAAUAAAGAAAGUUGCACACUCCAUAUAUAAAGUCCCAGUAAUUUAUUGGGUAUUUACCAACAUUUCAGCAUCACUGUGCCUGCUUCAGGGUAAUGUCAUGAAUACUUGAACCAGGUUAUGUAGACAAACAGUGCAGUUAGUGCAACCAAUGACAAUAGUGAGGGGUGUGUCAUAAUGAUUAAUUAGAAUGAAUUAGUGAAACUGUUAAAAAAAACAAUUGUUUAUGGCAUAUUAAAUAUAUUAGGCUAUUAUCAUAUAGAAACAUCAUUGAAUAUAGUACAUCAAAUUAGCAUCCACAUACAUUAUUGUUUAAUUCAAUUUCACAUAUUUAAUUGUUUCAUAUUUGUAACAUGUAAUCUUUUGGUUCAGCCUUAAUGUGUAAUGAGCAUCAUCAACAGAGGGAACAGGUGUACGCUAAUAAACUGUAGAAAGACUUGUUCAUAAAAGAAAGAAUUGUUCAUAAGAAGGGCCUGAGAUCAAAGUCAAUAUUCAGACCACUAGGGGUCAAUGUUUUUAGACAGGAUAUCCAGUAAGCCUCCCUUUGUAGGCUUUUCCACAUGAACAGGUGAUGAGAUAGAUUACUCCCGUGGUCUUGCAUGAGAUGAUACCCCUAACAGGGAUUUUUCGACCUGUAUGUGGGUGUCUGAAGAAGGAUGUUUUUAUAGUGCUAUUGCGCAUGAGCCACAUUUGUAGUUCCCAUUUGGGAUAGGUGUCAAGAGUGUCUGAGUGAGCUCAGGGGGCAUGUCAGAUCUCACCAAGCUAUCUCCAAUAUUGCGACCACACUUAUAGACCACCAGUGGAGGUUCCUUGAAGAGGUGGGCAAUUUUGUUGUUGUCUGAUUGCAGAAUAUGCCAGUCCUUUUUCAGGAUUGCUUUCAUUUUCUCUGAACCCUUGGUGUACUUAGUGCAAAAGAUGGUUGCGUUGUUUUUCUUCUUUGGUGGAGUUUUAAGUAAUUCCUCUCUUAGUUUUUGAGAUAUUUUCAUCAUUGCAGCAUCAAGAGUUUUGUAAUAUCUAACAAUUCCACAACAACCAUUCCACAACAACUACCUAAUACACACAAAUCAAGUAAAGGGAUGGAAUAGAAUAUAUACAUAUAAAUAUAUGGAUGAGUAAUGACCGAAUGGCAUAGGCAAGAUUCCAUAUAUGGUAUAACAUACCGUACAUAAAUACACAUGGUUAGCAGAUGUUAUUGCGAUUAUGGCGAACGUUUGUGCAUCUUGAUUUGACAGUUCAGCAGUAUCUAACAGGUAAAUCAUCUUGAUUUGACAGUUCAGCAGUAUCUAACAGGUAAAUCUAACACUUCCACAACAAUAGCUAAUACAUACAAUGUAGUAAAGGAAUGAGAUAAGAAUAUAUUCAUAUACAAAUAUGGAUGAGAAGUAUCAGAUAGUGUAGAAUUGAUCAUAUAGGAUACAGCAGCAGUAUAUACAUAUGAGAUGAGUAAUGUGAGAUAUGUAAACAUUCUUAAAGUGGCAUUAUUAAAGUGACUAGUGUUCCUUUUAUUAAAGUCUCUAAUGAUUUCAAGACUGUAUUUAGGCUGUUGCGCCUUCUUCACCACACUGUCUGUGUGGGUCAACCAUUUUAGUUUAUCGGUGACAUGUACAUUGAGGAACUUGAACAGGGAGUACAGGAGGGUGCUGAGAACGGGGGUGACCCGUCAGCAAGUCCAGAACCCAAUUGCACAGAGUGGGGUCGAGACCCAGGGCCUCAAAUUUAGUGUUGAGCUUGGAGGGUACUAUGGUGUUGAAUGCUGAGCUGUAGUCAAUGAACAGCAUUCUUACAUAGGUAUCCCUUUUGUUCAGAUGAGAUAGGGUAGUGUGCAGUGUGAUGGCGAUUGGGAUUUUUUGUGAUUGUCAACAUCCAUAUGCACAUAGAAAGGAGAGGGUUUUUUAUGCUGUGUGUCACCAACUGCUACUGACAAAGCAAGCAAGGAGAAGCAAGAAGGGACCCUAAACGUGGUUUUAAUUUCACUCCCUGCAGUUCUUGAAAACCACUGAAUUCAACCCUCUCUAAAUCAGUCAGUUCUUAACGUAAGGACUUGAAACUCAGGAUUCUGUAAAAUCCUACCCCAAUGAGGAUAUGUGUUUACUUUCAGCUUCCUGUGACAAGCGGAAGUGCUUUACAUUGGGGUCAUAGGGGCUGUUUCGAAGGGUUAAAAAGGCCACACCUUUCUAAAAUUUCAUAUGUGUGAUUAGGCAACCCUCAUGAACCGGUACAUAUUAGAAAACCAGGUUUUUACCCGUUAUUUUUUGCCCUUUUUGGAACGCUUACAAAUUCUCUCUAACUAAGGGUAUUUGUACAUUUCUAGUCUUUCAAGCUAUUGAGGGGAUUUGUCUGGGGGGGUCACAGCUUAAACAUGUCUAUGGCGAUGAGGGGAGAUGCAUCUGUGAGUCUCGAGCUAAUCGGACCAUGGACUUAAGAAGGCUUGUCCUGGACACUUGUACUUUGAAGAAUCUCAAAUAUAAAAAAUAUUUUGAUUUGUUUAACACUUUUUUUGGUUACAACAUGAUUUCAUAUGUGUUAUUAUUUGUGGCCUGCUGGAGGUCAUUUUGCAGGGCUCUGGCAGUGCACCUCCUUGCACUAAGGCGGAGGUACCGGUCCUGCUGCUGGGUUGUUGCCCUCCUACGGCCUCCUCCACGUCUCCUGAUGUACUGGCCUGUCUCCUGGUAGCGCCUGCAUGCUCUGGACACUAUGCUGACAGACACAGCAAACCUUUUUGCCACAGUUCGCAUUGAUGUGCCAUCCUGGAUGAACUGCACUACCUGAGCCACUUGUGUGGGUUGUAGACUCCGUCUCAUGCUACCACUAGAGUGAGAGCACCGCCAGCAUUCAAAAGUGACCAAAACAUCAGCCAGGAAGCAUAGGAACUGAGAAGUGGUCUGUGGUCACCACCUGCAGAAUCACUCCUGUUUUGGGGGGUGUCUUACUAAUUGCCUAUAAUUUCCACCUUUUGUCUAUUCCAUUUGCACAACAGCAUGUGAAAUGUAUUGUCAAUCAGUGUUGCUUCCUAAGUGGACAGUUUGAUUUCACAGAAGUGUGAUUGACUUGGAGUUACGUUGUGUUGUUUAAGUGUUCCCUUUUUUUUUGAGCAGUGUAUAUAUGACUUGGUGGGGGGAGAGCAGAGAGGGGGAUGGGAGCAGAGAAGGGGAUGGGAGGCUGCUCAACGAUUGGCUGUAGUGUAGGGUGUGUCAUACAAUGUAUCAAAAUUCCAACUGCUAGCUCAAAUUCUCACUCAACUGUACUACUAAUAUGGAAAUGUUCCACCGACUCUUGUAGACUACUAUGCACUGAAAAACAUUUAAUAUGUUACAAAUCAAAGCUUACAUUAAAAUAUGUGAUUUAAAUGAUGAAGUUAAAUUCAGAUAGGCCUGUUUUGUGCUCUCUAAUAUAAGGGAUUUGCGUCAAUUCAAAUCUGGUAUCAGGUCAAAAUGUGAUUCAGAGUCACUGAAUAUUUUUAUUAAACUUAAGCGAUAAAUGGUAAAUGCAAUUUUCGUAUAUACGGGUUCUCUGUAUCACCUCGCAGGGCAGAACAGAGAACUGGCAGGAUGUAAGUAAACAGCUGUUCUUAUACGGUGACAGACGUUGUUCCAACCCGUCUGUUGGCCUAUCACAGUAGAGGCUGAGCGUGGUUUAAACUUUGCUCAGCCUAUCGCCGGAGCUCAGGCUAGUCCCAGUCUCUUGGCGCUCCUUGGUGUCCGGCGCUGUUGCUGUGUAGAUUACGCUCCCACACCCUAGAGACUGGGGCCAGACAGUUCUGUAACAUUGUCUGAGCUAUUUGCACCUGCAUAGAAAGCAUACUGUUCUCGCUCAAGGUUAACCACAGCUUCUCAGCACACUAUCUGGGGCACAAUGUUACUUUCAGCACACACACACAGACGCCCAGGCUAACAGUUGCUAAUAUUAUAUCACAUGUGAUAGUGCAAUAAACACAAAUCCUAACACUAACACCAACAUAAAAUGUGUUGUUGUUGCUGUAGAACUUUUCACAGAUCUAGGAGCAGUUGACCGCCACAGAAUGUGAACAUUAGCCACUGAUAUCUGACAUCAGUAUAGUUUAUAAAAGUGUAUCUGUCUGUCUGUGUCUUUCAGUUUCUGUUUAGACUACAUCAAAGAUAGAGAAGCUGUGCAGUCACACCAUGUUCAAUCAUGUUACCUAAUUAGCUAGCUGACAAUCUGGUUGACCUGUAGCAUAUAAACAUUUGUUGGCACAGAAACAAAGGGGAUAUAAAAAAUGAUUGCUCAAAUUCCCCCCCGCCACUAUCUGACUGGGUUAAUUACUUAAUAUUAAGUUAAUAUGGACCCAUUGUCUUAGACUUGAAAUCUUGGACCGGGAUUCAAACACAGGCACUCUUAUUUCAGCCAUAGGGACUUGUAACUCGACUCGACUCAAACAUGGGUGACUUUGACUCAACUCAGAGUUAGCCAUAGGGUCUUGUGAAUUGACUCGGACUUGUGCUUUAGUGACUCAACUACAACACUGCUGCCAUUACAUGGCUACUACUACUGCUACAACUAACAAUUCUAGCAAGGGGUACCCCAGCUUGGAUACACUUUUCUGCUGCUCCCUCAAAAGCAUUAAGCAGACAUUUUGAUUAUACCUCCCAACUCAUAACUCCCUGUUGGGGUGAGUCUAUCUACAAAUAAACGCAGCAAGAGGAUUACAACAGCUAACACAGGAAGCUGAAGUCCUGGGGUCCGCCUUAUGUUCCCUCAGUUCUACCCCAUUUUGAAAAGGUGCUUUUCAUCCAUGACCAGGCCAUGUUUUGGCAGUUUUGAUUCACUAGGCAAGACAAUUGCAGACAUUCUCCAAUCCGGCAAAGAAAUAGGCCUAUAGUGUACAGUGUCGGCCUAUAAUGUCAUUUUAUAACUAGGCCUACCAUAAGAUAGCCUCCCAUUUGUAAAACAUGCAGUUGCAUUGGCUUUAUUAACCUAGUCCCGAUUCCUGACAAAAGCUUAUAGGGACUUGUCCUUUAAGAUAUGAACAUCAGUUUCCCAAGUUUAUUAUGAGUUUUCUUGAGGCUUUUUGCAAAGAGAUCAAUGCUGAUGUAAAGGCCUACGUCUUCACAGCAGUACAAACCUGAAAUCACUUAUUAUCAGUACAUUGUAUUCCACCUUGUGAAACCAGGGGUCUAGUGGAGGGUAAAUGCAAAUAGGAUUAAAAAAUGGCCUGUUAUGAGAGAGAAACAGAUUGUGAGAGUAGCUGAGUGCCAAUAGAGAUGAGAUGGCUGUUAAUAUCACUAGGCUGUUUGGUCUGUGUGCAGGUAGUGAACCUGAUUGCUGAGCGGUUAGGUUGCUAGUUAGAAUCUUAACCUGCCAUUAGCUAUUUUUGUGUCAGCAAGUCUACAGACCAUUCAAGUAGCUGCACUUAACACCUCACUGAUACUGAUUGUGUAAGCUACAAACCCAAAUUGUCUAAGGAAAUGUAGGUGACAGUAAUAAUAUUGCACACAUAUUCAGAAAUCUGGGCUGAUGGAAUCAUUGUCUACUCGCCAUAAUUUCCGCUGGAGAAGCUGUCCCUCCCCCACUGCAGUGUGCACAAAAGUACCAAACCACCAAAACUUUCACAGGUCAACACAGUUCCCCCUCCCCCAUGCUGCAGUGACAAAUCUCUCCCCAGGGUUGCCAUGUACAUUGUGUUGUCUUUUAUUGAGGUACUUUUAAAACUUUGCUGCGGGUAAAAAGUGUUGGUUGCUGCGUGCAAGUAUUUAUACUACUUCUAUAUUGCACCGUUAUCAACAUGGUAUUUUUUUAAAACCCAUUAAUUUCCCUGUAAUCUGCUGAGAUUGUAACAGUUUUCAGGCUUUGAAAGCGGGUUAUUACUGGAAUUACUAGGAAUGUGAAAUUGAUCUGGCAAGCCUGUCUCUGCCUGAGCAUGAUCACAACAAAAGUAGCUGUGCAGCAAGUUUUUUAAGGAAGAGGAGGAUGGUUGCAGACGUUCGCAUUCAUGCAAGAAGAAACUUGUCUUCCUUUACAAAGGCACUGCAGAGGCUAAGAAGAUGCAUGGAAACUCUAAAAGAAACAUAAUUCAACAUGUAGGCCAGAUUUGAAAAGGAAAUAAUAAAUCCCGAAGCUCAGUGUAAUGGCUCUCGUCGGUGGAAGGAGAGGAGGACCAAAGCGCAGCGUGAUGUCAGACACCGAGGCUGUCUGCACCGCCGUUGAUCAGAACAGACAGCGUAUACUUGACCAAAGCUAUGCUUGGAUACAGGACUGAUGACUCAAUAACCAGUAUUGACAACAGUGAAGAUGGUUAUGUCCCAGGGCCAUCAGGAUCAUCAGAGGAAGGCAAUUUCUAUGAAGAAAAUCUGACCGGUGUGCCUAUACCUUGCAUACACAUGGACCUAUUCUUAAUUACAAUGUCCUUUGUAGGA